rnacentral:misc_RNA from 1 species
GUAUUGAUAGCGCGUGAUUGCGCAAAGAACAUUCUACACUAGGGCGUUUGAUGUUAAAAACGUGAGCACCCCCCCCUCCGAGGAAGGGAGGACACACGCGGUGAUGCACAAAGGGUGAGAUGGAUUAUUAUGUGAGGAAACACACCCGGGCGUGCACGACAUUGAGUCAGCGACAGCCCUUGCAUGCCCCUCACAUUUUGUACGAUAAUGAUCCUUCCGCAGGUUCACCUACGGAAA